rnacentral:sRNA from 2 species
CUAGGCACAUGGCUGGUAUGGGUUUUAUUAAGCUUGUGUUUGGGCAACAUCGCAACAAACCACGUUUUCUCUCCCCUACCGAUCGUACGCAAGUUAGUAUUUCUUUUUCUUCCCCACUUCUGCCUUGAAUACUAGUCUCCGUCGCCACUGCGUGUCCGCCUUCUGGAGCAACUUACUACAUUAUAGCAGCAAGGUGUAGGUGGUGUUGGUUCCCCCCUAGAUUUCGCUUCCAGCCCUUCGCUUCACCUUCUGGUUCCUGUGGGGUAGCUGACGCUGAAUACGAGGUUGAGUUGUGUGGAAAUCCUUUGAACCGCAAUGCCCUGGUUGUUGUCAAGCCACAAUAUUUAAAAAGAAAGAAAGAAAGAAGGAAGGAAAGAAAAAAGAGGGAGAGAGGUGAUUCCCGAUAUCUGGUUAUCAUCGACAUUUAGGUUCUACUGCCUCAGACCAGCAAUGACAUCAUAGAUACAACGGCCGUUGAUUAAAUGUAUGUCGCGCAAAGAUAUCUUCGCUUCAAGGGUCCAAUCCAGGGAAAGGCGGGGUAUCGUUGGAGUCAUUAUUGUGGCGGCAGAUGCCCAAGUUCUAAUGAUCAUGGUUGUCCAUGGGUGUUCAUCGGGUGGCUGUGCAUGGUGAUGAAUAUAUAAGGGCUGAUAGAGCGGGAUAUCCUCAUGAACAAGUAGGUGUACGAUGAGAAGUUUCGCAAUAAGUAGAUGUCUACCUUCGCGGACAAGUCUCCCUCAAGAAUUGGAAAAAAUAUACAAUAGCUAGUAAUGAAUGGUUUUAUACAAAAUAUCGCUACGGUAAACCAGGAAAUAUGGCCAAAAAAAAAGAGUUAGAAUUCGUAAGAUAGAGUAUCAACAACCAUUACUCCAGCUGUUUCAUUAAACUCCUUAUGGUUAAAAAAAGGAAAAGC